GAUGAACGCUAGCUACAGGCUUAACACAUGCAAGUCGAGGGGCAGCAUGACGAUAGCUUGCUAUUGUUGAUGGCGACCGGCGCACGGGUGAGUAACGCGUAUCCAACCUGCCCUUGUCCACCGGAUAACCCGUCGAAAGGCGGACUAACACGGUAUGCAGUCCACAGCAGACAUCUAACGUGGACGAAAUGUGAAGGAGAGGGAUGGGGAUGCGUCUGAUUAGCUGGUUGGCGGGGUAACGGCCCACCAAGGCGACGAUCAGUAGGGGUUCUUGGAUGAAGGUCCCCCACAUUGGACCUGAGACACGGUCCAAACGCCUACGGGAGGCAGCAGUGAGGAAUAUUGGUCAAUGGUCGAGAGCCUGAACCAGCCAAGUAGCGUGCAGGAAGACGGCCCUAUGGGUUGUAAACUGCUUUUAUACGGGGAUAAAGUGAGUCACGUGUGGCUUAUUGCAGGUACCGUAUGAAUAAGGACCGGCUAAUUCCGUGCCAGCCGCCGCGGUAA
rnacentral:rRNA from 1 species